GAAGUACUCCCAGCUGCCCACAGUCAUCCUUCUCCAUCCCACUGACCUUCCACCCGUGACCAAUCAGGAGAUGUUUCCAGUUUAUUGGUGAAUUUAUUAGGGCUCAGAGAGGAUGACCUAUCCAAGGUCCCACUGCCAACUGAAUGUAGGACAAGUCUCUGAACCCAGUGUGCCCCUGCCAGAAAGUAGCAGGGAUCACAGAAGUCCAGCAGAGGUCUGCCGCCUUGGACCCCGCCUCUUACACAUUGAGUGUGGUUUCUGCAGUGAUGAUAGAUCCUCCGAAUGAGGAACAAUGUAUUCUUCUUUUCUCCUAAUUCUCCUAAAAAAUCCACUUGGGAGAUACCUGCUGCAAAACUUAAAGGCAACCAUAUUCUGUACUUAGAUGAAGUGUUUGUCAAGCUCCCUGGAAAAGAGAAUCAAAGGACCCUGACUUGUUUACUCUGCCUUCUGGAAGAAAAAAGUGAUGAGAGAGAGUGGCAAUCUCACACCAUGCUGAAAAGCGCCCCCCAACUAACUCAGAUCCAUGCGUCCCUUUGGGCCCUGAGGAAUAAUACUGCUGGUUUAAUUCAAGAUAUAAAACCAAUAAAAAUGGUUUACCUAAA
rnacentral:lncRNA from 1 species